ACCAAGGCGACGAUCGGUAGCCGGACUGAGAGGUUGAACGGCCACAUUGGGACUGAGACACGGCCCAGACUCCUACGGGAGGCAGCAGUGGGGGAUAUUGCACAAUGGGGGAAACCCUGAUGCAGCAACGCCGCGUGUGGGAAGAAGGUUUUCGGAUUGUAAACCACUGUUCUUGGUGAAGAUAAUGACGGUACCUGUGCAGCAAGCUCCGGCUAACUAC
rnacentral:rRNA from 1 species